rnacentral:lncRNA from 9 species
AAUCAAUCUCUAAAUGUAAGGAGAUUACUAACACUUUCAGGUGUUAAGAUGAUUUUACAGGAGUUCCUGUCGUGGCACUAGUGGUUAACAAAUCCGACUAGGAACCAUGAGGUUGCGGGUUCGAUCCCUGGCCUUGCUCAGUGGGUUAACAAUCCGGCGUUGCCGUGAGCUGUGGUGUAGGUCGCAGAUGCGGCUCGGAUCCAGCGUUGCUGUGGCUCUGGUGUAGGCCGGUGGCUACAGCUCUGAUUAGACCCCUAGCCUGGGAACCUUCAUAUGCCAUGGCAGCGGCCCAAGAAAUGGCAAAAAGACAAAAAAAAAAAAAAAAAAAAAAAAAAAAAAAAAAAAAAAAAGAUUUUACCAAUAGUUUACACUUAGUGGGUUUCUGACAUCUCUAAAUCUAUUUGCUUACCUUCUCAGGGGAAGCUCUAGGGGAGAAGUGAGUCCACAACCCCUCUGACUUUCUACCUGACAGCUGCCAUUUCUGUGCCCUGUUUUGUCCUUGUCUGCAGAACUACCUCCUUCUAGCAUAAAAAGAAAAAUGUAAUGACUGAACAUUUACAAAGAAUAUAAUUUUUUUUUGUGAAUGUGUGUGUGUACGUUUGUGUAAGUUUAGAUCUUCCAUGUGAGAUCAAAUUUAUUGCGCGUGACAAUCUCCAAAAAAGCUAUGAGCUAUGGGAGAAGAGUUAACCCAAAGUUAAAAAUUUUAUUCUUUUCCCCAUUAGGCCAGAGAAAAGGAAUCACGCUUAAAACUGCAGAUGGUAGCAGCUGAAAAGGCAGCAGAUGAACAAAUUCCUGGCAUCAGAAAAUGAAAAUACUCAAGUACCAUCAUAUCUGCUGGGUCUGUGUCCCAAGUUGGAUGGCUGUUUAUACUACUCCUUGGAAAAGUUAAAGUAUUGGAUAUAUUCCACUGGAAGGUUCAAGAGCAAAAACGGAACAAUGAAGUACAGUGGAAAAAACCCGAAUAGAGGUGUGCAAAACUGGAAUUUUCCCUGUUCUGAUUGUGGCAACUUGGGUGAGUCUUUUUGCUUAUUUCACCUCUGUAUUUGUUGCUGUAAAUUGGGAGAAUAACCAUUACUAAUCAACUGAGGUUGUUAUGAAAGCUAACUUGAGAUGACGAGGGUAUGUAUGCAUGAAUAAGAAGGUGGAUGGGUUCCAGAGGAAAAGGCUGGGAUUUGCACAUCCCUUGGCAGAAUGUCAAUAUUUUUUGUAUUUAAUCCAUUUUGG